rnacentral:misc_RNA from 1 species
AUCUUUUUAAUUACUUAUUUAUUUCAAGUAAAAAAUAUCAAAAAAGUGUGGGUUUUAAAUACAUGCGCGAAAAAAAUCGCGCAGAGAUUGAUAAUGAUCCUUUCGCAGGUUCACUUACGGAAA